AAUUAUCACUCUCCUCCUUCUCACAUAGGGAACUGAGGUGCAGAGACGUUGUUAAAUCCCAUGUCUGGGAUCACACAGCUGAGAGCUGCAGAACCUUAUCUGUUUCCUGAGUCUGACUGGACACUGAGAUUUGGCAGCUGAAGCCACAUAUUCAGUAUCGUCUCCAUCCCCUAAGCCUGCCGAGGUGCAGAGAACACAGUAGCUGCUUCAUAAACGGCUGUAAAAGCGGAGAUUGCAAGAUUGCUCCAAACCCGUGGAGGCCGAUCAGUUUCCAGUACAUACGAGACAGGGUCUCAUGUUGGCUCGGAGAUUGGCUGCGCGUAGGCUCAGUAGACUGGACGGCAAGCCCCAGGAAUCUCCUAAAUGACCUGAGCUGUGUCAACCAGCACCACAUGUCUCCUGGGGUUCAGAUGAAACUCUCUGCUUUUGUUUCAUUGCUUUAAGGAGACGCUAUCCCAGGAUGGUCUUGAACUCACAGAGCUUUCUUCCUCAGCCUCCUAAGUGCUAGGAUGACAGAUUCCACAUGGCACUGGGAUUUGCCUAAUUCCAUAUGGAAGGAGUUUAUUAAAGGCGGUUUUACACUUGUGCUCAUCUCGUCGUGGCCUCCGAGUGCAAGAAUUACAGCUUCUAGAUUCUGCUCUGUUUGCAUGCUAAGAGUCAAAUGGGGGAAUGGAUACCUCACUGCCUCAUCCACUUAACUAUUGGCUGAAGGAAUAUAACACAACUCCUAAAAAGGACUUUUGUUCUGGUUCUUGCAGUGGGAAGAGGGAGAGAGAGAUUGUGAAGGCUAUCUGGGUAAUUUCCCUUCCCUUCUCUUGGGCUUGUCUUCCUGUGAUGAAUCCUCUGGGAAUGGCCUCCCCUGAUGUCCACGUGGCAACUCAGACAAAAUGAAACACGCAUGGAGCGAUUUUCUCAUGGCAUCUUAGUUCCUGUUCUAUUGCAUGACCAUGGCAACUCUUAGAAAGGAAACAUUUAAUGGGGGCUGGCUAACAGUUACAGAGGUUUAGUCUGUUAUCAUCAUGUCAGAGAGCAGGGUUGCAUGCAGGCAGAUAGGGUGCUAGAAAAAAAGUAGGUGAGGGUUUUACAUACGUAUCCUCAGGCAGCAGGAGGGGGAGGGGGAGAGGAGAAGGAGAGGGGGAGUAUGGGCAGGUGCUGGCUUUGAAACCUCAAACCCCACCCCCAAGUGGUACACCUACUCCAAAGAGGACACACCUUUUAAUCUUCCGGGGGACAGCUAUCAACGAGAGUCUAAGAAUGCAAAUAUAUGAGUUUAAGGGGGCUGGGGGCUGGGGGUAAUCUUAUUCAAACCUUGAUACUUGGGUUGUUUGGCUCAAGGGCAACUGUCUCUGACUCUGAAGAAAAACAACAACAAUCAAUGCCUCCAGCUAGAUGGCAGAGAUGGUACCCCUCCAUCUCCCUCCAAGGGAGGGGGAUCUUUUGGUACCAAGACAGGAGAUAUUGUGACCCAUCUCCUGGCCUUUCAAUGGAUGAAGGAAGAGAAGGUGGGGGCUGGGAAAGAAACCUCAUCUUACUCAGUGGGACCAGAGAGGGUCGGACAAAGACACGGAGUUGGGAGAGCAAAGAGACAGAAGUGAGCCACAGCAGAUCUCAGUGCAACCUAAAAGCAGCUCACGGAUGGGCUGAAGUACAGGGGCAGUGGAUGUGAUGACUGAAGGCUACAGAAGUCGCAGAAGCUGGACCACGAGGGUUUCCAUGCCAACCUAAUGAGCUCAGGCUUCAUCUUCUGGGUAAUGGCAGCUGGACAUUUAGAGAGGAAUAAUCUGGAAAGGGAUUUUUUGCACUGUUGUGGUGGCAGAAGAUGGGCAGGAGCAUUAGAGGGGGAAGGAAAGCAUUCCCCAGUUUUUAGGGGAGCCGCGAGAACUGGAAGGCAGGAGAACAUGAGGUCUUGGAUAAAGAAAGAGGGAGCCAGGGCUCACACACAGAUUUCUCUCAAAGCUACCAUGGAAGAAGCGUGUCUCCAUGUGCAGUUGGGAAUGGGAGAGAUUGCCAUCCUGUUGCUAUUCUAUUUCCCUUUCAUUUAGUUUGGACAAGGGAGGCCACACUCCUUCAAUAAGGCCUUUCUUUCCCCUAGCCGAGUGGGUCAUUCACUGAAGUCGGUGGCAGGAGAGCUGACAGGAGGGCUGAGGGCCAGGGAGAUCAGGAAACAUGGAGUGACGACUCAGACUUGAUGCUUGCUAAACAGAGCUGGGCUGAACUGGGAGGUAGCAGCACCUGCCCUGUCCCAUGUCCGUGUCCUGGGUUUCAGAUGCCCAGAGCCCUGGCAGAGGCCUAGGCCUGGCCUCUCACUCACCCAGUGGGCAGUGAGAAGCUGUCUCCAAACC
rnacentral:lncRNA from 1 species